rnacentral:rRNA from 1 species
UACAGAGGGGGCAAGCGUUGUUCGGAAUCACUGGGCGUAAAGGGUGCGUAGGCGGGUCUUUAAGUCAGGGGUGAAAUCCUGGAGCUCAACUCCAGAACUGCCUUUGAUACUGAGGAUCUUGAGUUCGGGAGAGGUGAGUGGAACUGCGAGUGUAGAGGUGAAAUUCGUAGAUAUUCGCAAGAACACCAGUGGCGAAGGCGGCUCACUGGCCCGAUACUGACGCUGAGGCACGAAAGCGUGGGGAGCAAACAGG